UACGAAGGGGGCUAGCGUUGCUCGGAAUGACUGGGCGUAAAGGGCGCGUAGGCGGAUGGCACAGUCAGAUGUGAAAUUCCCGGGCUUAACCUGGGGGCUGCAUUUGAUACGUGUUGUCUAGAGUGAGGAAGAGGGUUGUGGAAUUCCCAGUGUAGAGGUGAAAUUCGUAGAUAUUGGGAAGAACACCAGUGGCGAAGGCGAUCAUCUGGGGUUGUUCUGACACUGAGGAGCGAAAGCUAGGGGAGCAAACGGG
rnacentral:rRNA from 1 species